rnacentral:rRNA from 1 species
CCUACGGGUGGCAGCAGUGAGGAAUCUUGGUCAAUGGACGCAAGUCUGAACCAGCCACGCCGCGUGCAGGAAGACGGCUCUAUGAGUUGUAAACUGCUUUUGUACGAGGGUAAACGCAGAUACGCGUAUCUGUCUGAAAGUAUCGUACGAAUAAGGAUCGGCUAACUCCGGGCCAGCAGCCGCGGUAAUACGGAGGAUUCAAGCGUUAUCCGGAUUUAUUGGGUUUAAAGGGUGCGUAGGCGGUCGGAUAAGUUAGAGGUGAAAGCCCGAGGCUCAACUUCGGAAUUGCCUCUGAUACUGUUCGGCUAGAGAGUAGGUGCGGUAGGCGGAAUGUAUGGUGUAGCGGUGAAAUGCUUAGAGAUCAUACAGAACACCGAUGGCGAAGGCAGCUUACCAAGCUACUUCUGACGUUGAGGCACGAAAGCGUGGGGAGCAAACAGGAUUAGAUACCCCAGUAGUC